UGGGGAAUUUUGGACAAUGGGCGCAAGCCUGAUCCAGCCAUGCCGCGUGCGGGAAGAAGGCCUUCGGGUUGUAAACCGCUUUUGUCAGGGAAGAAAUCUUCUGAGUUAAUACCUCGGGAGGAUGACGGUACCUGAAGAAUAAGCACCGGCUAACUACGUGCCAGCAGCCGCGGUAAUACGUAGGGUGCAAGCGUUAAUCGGAAUUACUGGGCGUAAAGCGUGCGCAGGCGGUUUUGUAAGACAGAGGUGAAAUCCCCGGGCUCAACCUGGGAACUGCCUUUGUGACUGCAAGGCUUGAGUGCGGCAGAGGGGGAUGGAAUUCCGCGUGUAGCAGUGAAAUGCGUAGAUAUGCGGAGGAGCACCGAUGGCGAAGGCAAUCCCCUGGGCCUGCACUGACGCUCAUGCACGAAAGCGUGGGGAGCAAACAGGAUUAGAUACCCUGGUAGUCCACGCCCUAAACGAUGUCAACUGGUUGUUGGGAGGGUUCCUUCUCAGUAACGUAGCUAACGCGUGAAGUUGACCG
rnacentral:rRNA from 1 species